rnacentral:sRNA from 1 species
UACAGGAUGCCGAAUUCGGGUCCUGCGGUAACCACUCGCUGAAUAUCAGGAGAUAGCAAAAUGACC